AUCAAUGAUGUUGAGUUACUGCCCCAGUCUGAUAGUUAUGAAUGAUUCAGUUAUUCUGAGAUGAA